rnacentral:ncRNA from 1 species
GAGAGCACAGUACGAUGAAAGUUGUAAACUGUGUUCGGGGGAGAGUUAUUGUCUAUCGUUGGCCUCUAUGGUAGAAUCAGUAGGGGGCCUGAGAGGCAGUGGUUUACCCUGU